rnacentral:rRNA from 1 species
UACGUAGGGUGCAAGCGUUGUCCGGAAUUAUUGGGCGUAAAGAGCUCGUAGGCGGUCUGUUGCGUCGGCUGUGAAAACCCGGGGCUCAACUCCGGGCCUGCAGCCGAUACGGGCAGACUAGAGUUCGGCAGGGGAGACUGGAAUUCCUGGUGUAGCGGUGGAAUGCGCAGAUAUCAGGAGGAACACCAAUGGCGAAGGCAGAUCUCUGGGCCGUAACUGACGCUGAGGAGCGAAAGCAUGGGGAGCGAACAGG